CCUACGGGGGGCUGCAGUGGGGAAUAUUGCACAAUGGGCGAAAGCCUGAUGCAGCGACGCCGCGUGAGGGACGACGGCCUUCGGGUUGUAAACCUCUUUCAGCAGGGACGAAGCGAAAGUGACUGUACCUGCAGAAGAAGCACCGGCUAACUACGUGCCAGCAGCCGCGGUAAUACGUAGGGUGCAAGCGUUGUCCGGAUUUAUUGGGCGUAAAGAGCUCGUAGGCGGUUUGUCGCGUCGGAUGUGAAAACCUAUGGCUUAACCAUGGGCCUGCAUUCGAUACGGGCAAACUAGAGUUCGGUAGGGGAGACUGGAACUCCUGGUGUAGCGGUGAAAUGCGCAGAUAUCAGGAAGAACACCGGUGGCGAAGGCGGGUCUCUGGGCCGAUACUGACGCUGAGGAGCGAAAGCGUGGGGAGCAAACAGGAUUAGAUACCCGGGUAGUC
rnacentral:rRNA from 1 species